rnacentral:misc_RNA from 2 species
AACGCAUAUUGCGCUCUUUGGUAUUCCGAAGAGCAUGCUUGUUUGAGUAUCAGUAAACACCUCAACCUCUCUUUUUUGAUAAAAAAAGGGGAGGGUGGACUUGAGCUAUCCCAACGACCUUCACCGGUAGGCGGGCGGCUUGAAAUGCAGGUGCAGCUGGACUUUUAUCUGAGCUAAAAGCAUAUCUAUUUAGUCCUCGUCAAACAGGAUUAUUACUUUUGCUGCAGCUAACAUAAAGGAUAAUUGUCCUCUUUGCUGACUGAUGCAGGAUUUUACGACACUUUAUGUGUUGUUCAACUCGAUCUCAAAUCAAGUAAGACUACCCGCUGAACUUAA